UCAUCUUUUUUUAUGCAUAAAUCUUAACCCUUCAUUGAUUAAAAAUAAACGGCUAAGAUUAGAAUGGAGUAUUGAAGCAUUGCUCAAUAUACUAUCAUUUUCUAGCACAGUUGGUUGGUAUCUUGUGCUGCUGAUGAGAAGCUUGUUCUUAGGGUGCGUUUGGUUCGAGUUAUUCUGGCAGGAUUACUGGUAAUCUUGCCAGGAUAACUGUGUUUGGUUAAUCCGCUAUGUAAUCUAGUCGUUAAUGUAGCAUUACAAAUCGAGCAGGAUUACAUCGAAAAUAUUAACGGGAUGGGGGUCGUGUAUCUUGCAUAACUGAAACCCGUUAAUGCUACAUAUUAUAUAAAAUGACAAUUUUACCCUCCAACAACCCCAAAUCUAAUUAUCAGCAUUAUUUUCAUCUCUCUCGCCUUCCCCCUUCUCUCUCGCACGCCGCUUUCUCUCGCUCUCUCUCUCUACGUCUCUCUCUCUCUCUCUCGCACGAACAUCUAUCAUCUUCUAUUGCGUCGUCCUCCCAAGUAAUCAUCACGAUCUCCUUCCCUCCAAUCAUUUUUGCAAAAAAUAAUAUUCAAAUGGCCACAAUAAAGAUAAUUUUGGAAAAACUAUAUUUUUAUGUCAUGAUUACUAAAUUUUAUAAACUGAACCAAACGUAUUAAUGCUAUAAACACUGUAAUCUAGUAUUACAUUACUGCAUUAAACCAAAUGCGCUAAUGCAGCAUCAGUAGUAAUCUCACGCUGAAAUCCAAGAUACCUGGAUAUGUCGAGAUACUUUGUAAUAUUACAUAACUUGAACCAAACGGGCCCUUAAGGUAAUUAUUCUACUCCUUUCGAUAAGAUUUUUUUUUUAUUUUAUUUAAAGUAGGGGAACAAGGUCAUUUCACAGGUUGUUGGUAUUGUUAAGAAAGUGCAUUCUAUUUAAUUAUAAUUUAUACUUUUAUUUUUCAUUAGCGAUAUAAGAUUUAUUUUUAUUUGAAAAAUAUUUUUCUCAACUAAUGUUUAAACGUGGGAAAAAAAAAAUAAGUAGGGGGCUUCCUAAUGACGCCUUAUUUAGCAUUUUCAAUUUAUCAUUGCUGUGUUAUUUUUAUCUCUAUCUAACUGUAAUCAUAUUUUCCUCUAGAGUUUAAUGUUUUUUUUUUAAAUUUUAGUAUUAAAAAUAUGUAAUAAAUGAUUGAAUAGAAAUAAGAAUAACAUAUUACAACAGAUCAGAGACUUCAUAAUAAGGGUCACCUGGGAGCUCCCGCUGAAGUUUUAUCCAAAAAGACAUAAUCAUCUUAUCCAAAAAGACAUAAUGAUUGUUGGGCCCACCACUAGCCAACUAUGUUUUGGCUACAUUCAACCAACUUUAUAGCAACAAAAUCCAGAAUCCACUUUGCUUAUGUUUUAUCUACAAAUCUUUAUAUAUAUAUAUAUAUAUAUAUAUAUAGAGAGAGAGAGAGAGAGAGAGAGAGAGAGAAUUGAGCUAUAAUGCUAUUAAUAGCAAACGAGCUUCAUUGCUAUCUAUUUGCUUUUGAUAAUGAAGCCUCUAAAUCGACAAUCGGCACUGUUGAACAUAAUCUAUACCACUUGAAGUGUUUAGAAAUCAAAUUUUAUACAUUUUCGAUAUUAUUCUCUUAUCCAUCGAGUAAGUAGACACAAAAAUAAACGGCUGAAAAUAAAUAUUCUUUAAAAAAUGAUGAUAGGAGUCUUGUAGUCAAGAUCAAGAGUAUAGAUCUUGUUUUAAAUAGUUUAAAAAAUUUUCUAACAAAAAUUCAAUUGAUUUAGAUAUCUUUAUACCGUUAAACGAGAAAACGUCUCAUAUCGACCAUUAAAAUUACAAAUUUUGAAACCCUUUGAUCAUCAGACAAAUGAUGUCGAAAAGAUUUAAAAUUUGAUUUAUAAACACUUCAAGUGGUAUAGAUCAUGUUCAGCAGUGCCGAUCGUCGAUUUGAAGGUUCUAUCAUAAAAAAUAAAUAGAUGGCAACGGAGCCCGUUUAUUAGUGAUAGUAUUCUAGCUCAACUCCAUAAAUAUAUCCAUUAACUACUUAAUUGUUAAUUAUACUAAUUUUUACUCACCGAGAAAGAUUAAUGUUAUUAAAUUUGAUGAAAUAAUUAUUGAAUUGGAUGAAAUUUUUAGUUUAUUUCACUAAAUGAUAUUUACUUCUAAGAAUAUUAAAAGCAAAGAAAGAAAAAAGGCGAGCGGACCAUCAACUAAAAAGAUAAAAAAUAAAGAACGAAAAAUAUAGCUGGCUACCUUUAUCUUAGAAAAAAGAAAAUUGAGGGAAUCAUUUCAAAAUGACCCUCCAAUUAAUUUUAAAUAUAUUUUUUUAUAUAUAAUACUUUUUAUUUUUUUAUCUUUUCAAAGCAGAGUGUUCACAAGUUGACACAAGAAUCUUAACCAUAUGAAGGAAAAGUGGCCCCACAAAAAUGCACAAAAUCCUCUGAAAAAAUCCUAUUCUUGAUUGGGUGGGUUGAUUCUUUUAUUAGGGUCAUUUCAUAUCAUCUUUGAGAUUCGUGCACUGUCACACUAUGGGAGAGAUUUGGCCCCUUUCAUGUGAUUUAUUUAUCUCUUUGAAUUUAUCAAAUUCAAAAACCCAAACUUCCAAUUUUAAGCCCCAAUAGUCAAUGUUAUCUUCUUUUCUAUAUCAUUAAAUUUUAUUUCAUAUAAAACUAUUUCCAUGUGAAUAUCUUAAUCCAUCCCAAUAAUAACCUACCAAAUUGGGUUUGUCACUUUUCAACUAACCACUUUUCUCCAAAUUAUUAAGCUUACAAAAUUAGGAUUUGUAUUUUGAGAUUUCAUCUAUUAUAGGUUCCUCGGAAAAGCGCGGAAAACUAUUUUUUAAAAAAAAAGAAAAGAUUUUUCAUGAAUAACAUUCUUUUCCAUAGCUUUUAUUUUUCAAAUAAAAAAAGAAAACGCUAUUUUCCCAUGAAAUCUGAAUUUUUUUUUUUUUUUUUUUUUUGUAAACAACUACUCUUUUUUGACCAUUUUCUCGAAUAUUUUUUGGAAAACUAAACACUCCCUAUAGAAUUCUAGUUUGAAUUCUCUUUAUUGAUGCAAUUUGAUCCGCCAAAAUUUGUGUCUUAAAAUAAAACCGCUCUUUCACUUGUCAAAUUGGAAUCCUUUUCCAAAUCAUAAUUUAAGGUUUUCCUUUCACAAAGACCAUAAUUCAGUUAUUAGGAUUUGUAAGACUAAAUGAGUAAAGUUAUUUGAAGAAGCACUAACAUUUAUUUCAUUCAAAUCCUUUUAAUAUUUUCUAGCUAUGAUAGUAUGAUGCAAGGUUUAUAUUUAAUGUCUCCAAAAUGCUUUUUUUUUUUUUUUCUUUCUGAAUGAAUGAGAAAAGCUUUUUCAGAGGCCGAACUAAGAUGGAACACACACUAGUUUGUAAAUUCGUCCUCCAAACUUAGUUGCUUUGAUGCUUUUAAGUUCCAAAUGAAAUAAAUGCUUUGGAACUCCUCUACUUUGAUGCUGUGAACUAAUGGUAGGAACCUUCAGCAAAAUCUUUUUUUUUUCUGCAGAAACUCUAACAGUUAACUUUUUAAGUAGCGGAACUUCAAAGCGCUUGUGAGCCUUUUUUUUUUUAGGGCUCAAGAACUUUAAAAUGGUUCCAUUUGAGAGAUGCAUUUUCAAAUACCCAAUUACUUAUUAGUGGAUUUGGAUAAUAAUAAUAAUAAGAUUCAAUCCAUUUGAAUAGCUCUAAAUAAGAAAUGGACAAGAAAGGUCUACAACCCUAUAUUGAUGCCACCACCCACCCUUUUCAUGGAUGGAGAGUGCUAGAAUUAGGGCAUAAGACAAUAAUAAUAUGACACCCAAAAAAAAAAAAAAGCUACAUCAGGUGGGCCUUCUACCACUAGUCAAGAAAAGGGGAAGAAAUAGAAUUCUUUUUCGGUUGCUUUCGGCUGGUGGAGAGGAACAAAAAGAGCCCUAGAUAUUCGGAAUUCUUCAAAAGCAAUUAUAUCAAAGACUUUAGUCAGCCAAAAUGCGACAGAUAUGCUAUUCAGUAGACGUCAGUCAAUAUUUACUGCAUGUUUGGCCUGGCUGUUGGAUCAACUUCUCCACUCGAGGAAAUAGAAGUCAGAUAUUCAAUCUUUGAUCAGUUUGGCCUCACGGCUGGAUCGACUUCUUGACUUCUCUAGUUUUCUCUAUGCACUUCCAAAGGCUGGCUUGGCCUCGCAUCUAUUAAUUGCUGCUUUCAACAAUAGCAGUCUCAAAAUAAUGUAUCUAGCGAAAGUAAAUGAAGAUCCUAUUGUGACAACUGUAGCAGAUUGAGUUAGCGUCUUUAUUUCUACAAAACAUAGUUAUCGGAUAUAUUUUAAAGUAAUUUUUUUCGCAAUUGUACUAAGACCGAUAAACAGUUUGUUAAGCAACGACAUAUACAACAAAUACUUGACAUGUUUUCCCAAAUCUGUCUUCUUUUUCUGAACCAUAAAUGCUUAAUUAUUUCUUGCAUUUUGAUAGGCCUAACCUAGAAAACCAGACCCAUGGAUCGAAUAAUUUCUUAUUCUCAGCGUUUGGUUAGGGGAUAGGAAUAGGAAUAGGCACUUAUCCCCCUUUAUACCCAAACGCUAAUUUUUUAUCCGAGAAUAGUAGUUCUCGAUUAUCCCCACCAACACCUUUAUUUUCUAUAUAAAACUAUCUAAUAUUUUUCUUAUCCCCGGAAAAAACCCAAUUUUCAUUCAAACGCUAUUUUUCUUAUCUCCAUUCUUGUACCUAUCUCUGAAAUAGCUAGUUCUUACUUAUACCCGAACCAAACCGUACCAUUAUUGGCUCUUUCUCCUCCAAAUUAUACACCACCAUGAAUGCUCUGUGUUUUGAUUUUUUUUUUUUUUUAAAUCAAGCAAAAUAAGAAAGGAGGCAUAAAGAACAAAUGGAAUGGGUGUGACCCAUGUGGCUUGAGACCUUUUUGUGAACUUUUCACUAUUAACUAGCAAUAGUGGCACAUGAUGAUUGGCCUAUAUGAUUUUAAUACAAUCAAUUUGUGGUGCAUGAUAGGCCAAAGUUUUAUUGGGGACAAAAUGUGACCACUCAUUAAGCACCUUGUACCUUUUCCUUUUUAAGAAAAUUAAAAAAAGGACACACAAAAUUGUACUAGCAAUCGUUGUUCACUCACCAUUAGUCAAAAAAAAAAAGAGAAAGAGAAAUUAGGAAAAACAAAAAACAAAAAAGGAAAUAAGAGAAAAGAUAGUACCACUUCAAUUCAACCAAGGGGCAUUCAAAUAAAUCUAGUUCUUUUUUUUUUUACUAUAGUGGUUCUUUGGACCACCUCUAAUUUCUUUUUCUAUAACAAUUAUUUUUAAAAAGUAUUUAACAAAUAAAAAAGUCUAAUGCAAAGAUUUUGAUAUCUAAUAUAGAAACUCUAAUUAGUGCUACUACUUUUGCAUAGAUUUUGUCAAAAAAGUAUUGAUAUAUAAUGUUUUUUCUAAAUUACUACCAUUCAAAAGUACACUUUAAAUUAUACUGCACGCUUUAGUAAGAGUAAAUAUAUCGAUAAAAAAUUUUUAAUUUAAUAAAUCUUCUAAAAUAUGUGUUAUCAAAUAAAAAAUAUCGAAAAGUACUAUCUGAACACUGCAUCAAGGAACAUACAUUUUACACCUCUGCAUUCAAAAAAUUAUAUAUAAACCCUUUUAUAGUUUUUAGUUAGAACAAAUUAAAAAGAUUAGUGAGUAAAAUCUAAUAUAAAAAAUUUAGGGUUGUAAAUUUUACACCUGUGUUAUAAGCAUACAAAUAGCAUUGCUUAAACAUAUUUUAUAGAAAGGAUGGAAGGAUAGUUUAUCAUCCUUUUUCAUGCAAUGUGCAUGGGACCAUCCUCAACAAUUUCAAAAUGGAAUUAAAUUUUUUUUCCUCAAAAAUUAUUCCAAAAUAUUUUAUGCUUAAGGGGGUGCUGAAUUUUUAUUCUUAUUUUUUUACCUACAAUUUAUUCUUGGGCAGAAGAAAUCAAGUAUGAGAUUCUCAAAAUCACAACGAUCCAAGGCCUGCUCCUGUGAUUGAUUGGGAAUCUUUUUUAUAAUAAAAUAAUUAUGGAUAAUAUAUUUACUAUAAAAUAAUUACUAAUAAAAUAUGUUGCUAGUCCUUGUACUAUUAGUUUGUGCACUUUUAGUUAAACAUAGCUCAUAAACUUUUUUAGAUGUUACAUUUUAGUUCUACCAAUAAAAGAAAUUUGAUUGUUCGUAAAAAUACCAUUUUACUCAUUUACCUGAAAUGACUCACAUAUUUACAUAUUCAGUAUAAUUCAAACAGUAUUAAAAUAUUAUGAGUAGAACUAUUAUGCUAUCGGAAGUAUAAAGUAGUUGGUGCUUUCAAUUUUUUAGCCCUUAGAUUAACUCUAUUGAUCAUUUCUAAUCAUUAGAUUAAUAUUAUUAACCAAUGGGGACCACUCAACCCUAAGGGGACCGCUAUCAUCCCAACCGUAGAAUCUUUUAUCCAAGGGCUAAAAAAUCGGAAGCAUCAACUACUUUAUGCUUUCAAUAGCAUAGUAGCUCCACACAAAUAUUAUUGUAUAAUUGAAAGUCAGAUAUUAAGAAGUAAGUUGUAAUAAAAAGUUUAUAUGCUAAAAUGUUUAAGUAAAAAGCACAAGAGCUAAGUUUUAGUAUUACCCGAAAUAUUGAUUUUAUAGACAAUGAUUCAGAGCUUAUUUUAAUUUGCUCGCAUAUUAAGAGAGCAAAUACAUGAAUUUAACUCUAAACGUCUUGGAAUGGAGAGAGCAUAGGACGGAAGAACUAGUUCUGAUACCAUGUUAUUUGAAAAUUUAAGUUUCAUAGAAAACAGAUCUGAACUAUAAUGUUGGGAUGUUUGCAUAGGGCACUAUCCAUAAAUUUGACCCAAUAAUGAUUAUUGGAAACAUGCUCUCCAAUUUUAGUGCAAUAAUUGGUGCUCCCCAUGCUAUUUAGAAAAGAGGAAUCAAUGGAUGUAGCUUUCUCUAUAGUUUUCUUAAAAAAGAAAUAAAUCAAUAUCUUGGAUCCCACACAAUGUGAGUCAAACCUAUAAUGAGAAUUAGCUUGUAAGUAUAGCUUAGGUUUUGUAAAAAAAAAUUGCCCAAAACCUCCCCACUUUAGAAAAAGGACAAUUUUAUGUAAAAAGGAUCAUCCCUGUUGAGAUUCCUUAGGUAUUGGAGAUUCCUUGGGUAUUGGAGAGAUUAAGUCAAAUAAUGAAAGGUGUAGAAAGGGCUACAUAUGGAUAUAAUAUUUCACUCAUUAUAUUGCUAUGAGUACAGACAAGUGUAUCCAAAAAUGAUUGUAUCAAUUCAAAUAUAACACCGACUGUCCCUAUAGCAAGUGGCAAAGGGCUUGAUGGUUGGUACUCGAGACCCAAGUUCGAAUCCUAGUUGAUUCACAUUUCUAGCUAAGUUUAUUUCUAAAUGAAAUAAACGAAGCGGAUAGCGUGCUAUCUAUCUCUUUCAAAAAAAAAAAUUCAAAUAUAACUUCUUAAAUUACUCAAGAAGCUUAUAUAUUUGGUAUACGGUUCAACCUGCUAACAAUAAUAAUUUGUUGGGCCCACCGGUCCAAAAUGCUUAAACUAAGUUAUUAUUAUUAAUUAACGUAUAGGCUUUAUAUAUUUUUAAAUCAAAAUCAUUUUUUCAUCUGAUGUGGAACUAUUAGGGCAUUACAAACUCCCCAUGUUUAGACUCUGACGUCCUCAUCAGGUCCAAACCCAGAUUACAGACAUACAGAUCAGAAUUACAAGGUGAUGUGAAAUUCUAGAGGUGGCUCCUACGAGUUCAAGAUGUAGCUUUCACCAAACCCAUUGGUAUAGCACUUUGUCCCGCAUAGCAUUUAACUCUUAUAUUUUCGGCUGUUAUUUGGCUCUUAUAUUAAUUGUAACAACCUGACCCGCUAGUAAUAAUAACCCGUUGGGCCCUAAACCACCGGUCCAAAAUACUUAAUUUCAGUUAUUAUUAUUAGCGUGUAGACCUCAUAUAUUUUAAGCAGAAUUAUUUUUUCAUCCGAUACGAGACUAUUGGAAUAUUACAUUUGUCACAUGUGGAUUGAGAUCAAAUGGCAAGAAGGAAUAUCAUAUUUGACCUUCAAAUUAUUUUUUUAUAAUAAAAUAAAUUAUUUUACUGAUGAAGUAUAUCAUUCACCAAAUUAUAGAUAUUAAGAUAUUUUAAGAAGCAAAAGUUAAGUUCUGUUCUUUCAAUCAUACAAUAAAAUUCUUAUACGGGAAUCAACUACCGUGGAAUAGCUUAUUUCGAAAUUCAAACAAGGACUUCGUGUAAGAGCCUUUUGAGUCUACUUCCAGGUGACAGCAUUACUUGUUUGUGAUUGAGUUGUGUUAUUAAAAAAAAAUAUUUAUACUAAUCAGAGCUCUGUUUGGGAUUAUGGAAAGUUAGAAAUUAUGGUGGAAAAAUAAUUUGUUUGUUACUGUACGUAAUAUUAUAUUUUGCAUAUCAUAAUGAGUAUAUAUAUAUAUAUAUAUAUAUAGAGUCCGUCUACUAUACUUUCAAAAGUACCGAAACCUCCGUGCUUGUAAGUUAUUUUCUACUAUAUAUAUAUAUAUAUAUAUAAUUGAGUUUCUAUAUUUUUAAAAGUACUAAGUUAUUGGUACUUGUAGAUUUUUGGACAUUGGAUUAAGGAAUGUGCUGUUAGUAACUUGAUAUUUUUAAAAGUAUAGGAGUUCAAUUUUAUAUAUAUAUAUAUAAUGAUUUCAAUUUUAUAUAUAUAUAUAUACUAUAGAGAGACAGAGAGAGACGAGGAGAAGAGAGAGAGAGAGAGAGCAACUAGUUUUAAUAGGCACGAAACAUUUGUAAUACAGACUUUCCCGUCUAGAUCUAAACCCUGAUUAAUAUUUUUACCCUUAGAUAUACUAUUAAACCAACCACCCACUACAACGCCCUAGGGGACACUUAUCCUAACGCACUAUCUCCUAAUCCAAUGCCAAAAUUGGUAUGCAAUGACUUGAUGCUAUUAGUAGAGUAUAUUUAGGCUAGUUCUAUAUAUAUAUUAUAUAUAUAUUAUAUAAUAUUAUAUUAUAUAUAUAUAUAGUGCGGCUAGGAUGCUUAUGGAACACGGAGGGGUCCGUGCAUCCACUUUGUUUUCGAUGUUCGGACUUUCGAAUCGACGAUCGGCUCUCGUUUAGACUUGAUUCUAGAGUAUUUGAAGUAUCUAGAAAAUAAAUUUAGCGAUUUUCGUUCAUUGCCUUACAUGAUCAGUGCGUCAAAUAAAAUAUGAUGAUAUGACAUUAAAAUUUUAGAUCAAAGUUAUUGAUCUUGUUUUAUAUGGUAUAAAGAAUUUUCUAUCAAAAUUUCAUAUGAUUUGGAUAUUUCUACACCGUUAAACUUGCAACCGGCUUACCACGGCCAUUAAAAUUAUUGAUUUUGAGCCCCUUCAAUCAUUAGGUAAAUGAUAUCGAAAAAUCACAAAAUUUAUUUUCUAGGUACUUCAAAUACUCUAGAUCAACUCUAACGGAGCCGAUCGUCGAUUCGAAAGUCCGAACAUCGAAAAUAACUUGAAAGCAUGGAGGGCUCCGUGCUUCCAUAAACAUACCAGCCCACUCUAUAUAUAUAUAUAUAUAUAUAUAUAUAUAUAAAAUUUAAGAUAUUUUGUAUCUAGCAACCUUUUUUUCCCAAUUGAAACAAAGUUGACACUUUUUAAAUAAUUGAAUAUUUUUUUUUAUCACUUUAGUGUCCAAUGAAUACAUAAAUAGGCUUGAAAAUUGACUUGGUCAUUAAAAGUGAAAAUUCUCCAACCACCUUAAUAAAUUACAAUUAAAAUUAACAUUUAUUCCAAUCAAUGCUUUUGUGAAGUAGAGUAAGAUCCAAAGUAAUACUCCUACUAAUAAUCAACAAGUUGUGUUUUUUUUUUUAAGUUUUAUUGAGUGACCAAAAAGAAGUUAGCUUAAGGUAGGAGGAAUAUUAGGGAGCUAUUAGGUUCAUUAUAAUAAUAAUAAUAAUAAUAAUAAUAAUAAUAAAAUCAAGGGGGCACAAAAAUUGUUUAAGCUUAAUUAUUGAGAGGAGGAACAUAAAAAGUGUUUGGUUCUCCAAAAAAAUAAAAAAAUAAAAAAAAUAAUUUUAUGACUGAAAAAAUAUUUUUCGCUUGUUUAGUUUCUAGGAAAAACACUUUUCAGCCAAACUGUUUUUAGAUUUUACAAAAACAUAGAAUGUCAUUUUUGUAACUUUUAUUGAAAAAACAUAAACUGAAAAAAAAAAAAAAUUUUUCAUGAAUAUAUAUUUUUGGAAAGUAGUUAAUUUAAUUAUGAUUUUUAUGGAGGACGAAAGGCAACACCUAAUAUAGUAUUACUAACAUAGCAUACAUUUUUUUAAAUAAAAGAAUGGUCCUAUUUAGUGACCGACUGAAUUUGAUCAGAUUCAACGAAUGUCUGCCGCAUAGGCUUCAUAAAUUACAUCAUUUGAAUAGGGAUUGAUAAUGCUAUUGAAAGGAAAAGAAAAAAAAAAAUUUUAUUUGCAGAACUAAUUUUCAAGAUAUUGUGGGGUAAAAAAAAAAAAUAAUAAUUUUCUUCUUCCUGGUGGAUCAGACCCUGCACGAAUCUUAAAGCAGGCCGCACCUUCAUGCAUUGAACUGCGUGCCCAUUGCAGCAAGGAGUAAGAAUUAGGCAGAGUCUGGUAGAGUAGUAGGAAAAAUAAAAAAAAUAAAUAAAAGCCUAAAUUACAUAUAACCUCAUGUAAAUAUUCAUUUUUUUUUUUAAUUUUUUCUUUCUAACUUUUAAAAACUUAUAUUUUACCUACUCAACAUUCUAAGUUGUUGCAUUCUGUCACCGUUCGUCAGGAUUCCAUCACUAUUCCGCCUAUUUUUUAUAAUUUAUAUUGAAAAUACCAUUCAAAAUGACAGAAAUAUAUUAAAAAAUUAUUUUUCUUAUUGAAGAAAUAAGAGUAAUUUGGUUAUUUUUUCCUUUCCAUUAACACCGGACCCCCUUGAAAAAUAUUUCUGAAAAUUUAAAGAGACAAAAUGUAGGUUUUUGAAAGUCGCAGAAGGAAAGCAAAAAAAAAUAAGCAUUUACAGAAGAAUUUUUUGUAAUUUAGCCAAAAUAAAAACGUGAGGCUAUACUAACUAGGGAUGUUAAUGGGUAUGGAUACCUGAAAUUUUGUCCGAGCCCAAACCCGAAUGGAGCGGAUAUAUUCAAUGCUAAGUGGAUAUGGAUUCGGAUAUGGAUAUCAAAAAUAUAAAAUCAGACAUAUAUAAUUGAUCGCACAGGGAUUUUGAUUGUGACUCCGAAAUCGCAAUUAUUUUUGCAUUUAAUAUAUAUAUAUAUAUAUAUCUAUAUAUAUUUAUGAUCACUAAGUAUAAUAUACUAUAUAUAGUAAUAAUAUAUAAUUGACGGCUAUUAUGCUACGAAGCACGUAAAAUCAUACCGUGUUUCUCAGCUCGUUUUCGAUGUUAUUUCGGCGUACUAAAAAACAGUGCAAAGAGCACUAUCCGCGUUAAAACAUUAAUCUACAGGAAAACAAAAGAGUAUUGAAUGUACCUAUGAAAAUAAAUUUUAUGAUUUUGACCAUAUCAUUUUGCUCUAAAGCUAAGUUUUUAUAAAAAUCCAUCGGUGUUGAUAUGGAUUUUUAAAAUGCCAGCGGGUAAAUCUGAAGGAUUUCUAAGUUAGUACUUCGGGUUGCGGGUCUCUGGAUUAUUUGAACAAUCCAUCCGUGAAAUCCGACCCAUUUUGACAUUCUCUAACAGCUAAACGCAAUGCCGUAGUCUAAGGGAUGCAAACAGAUCCGGGUUGGGGAGCUUCCGGCCCCCGAUCCCACCCGACGGGAGCAUAAAAUGGGAGAUAAAUAAACGAUUCGGGGCAAGGAAAGCUGGGUAAGUUUCUUACGAUCCGAGACGAUUCGGAGCAAAAGCGGGAUACAAUUUUGACACAGCCCGAAUCCGCCCCGCCAUGCAUCCGCCCCCGAAAUCCGCCCCGAAUCUCCCCCCGAAUAGCAUUUGUAUUUUUAAAAAAUAUGUCCCACAAAAAAAUAAUAUACUUUAUAAAAAAAGUUUAAAAAUACAAAUAAGUUAUUUAACUCCGUCCAUUACUUAAUUAUUUUAAAUAUUUGAAUUUGUUUUGAAUUGUAUGAAUUUAAUUUUUUACCAUUAAUAUUGUUAAAUAUAUAUAUAAUUAUAUAUAAAAAUUAUAUUUAUAUUUUACAAAAAUAUUAAUAAAAUUAAUAAUUUUAUAAAAAUAUUAAUUGCGGGCGGAUUCGGGCGCCGAGGGGAGGCGGGUUACGCAGGCGGUGGCUGAUUAAAGGAUGUAUUUUUUAACGACCGUCACGGAUUCGGGCGAGCGGGCGGCAUUUUUGCUAGGUCGGGCCGGACGCGGGGCGCGUCUCCCGCCUCCAGUUUCCGCCGCAGCGUGCAUCCCUACGUAUAUCUGUUACAAAGAAGCUACAAUUUUAUCCCUCCUUGAGCUUUAGAAAAAGAGUCACUUUCCCCAAUAGAUUUAAUUUGCUUAUAAAAUAAAAGGGAAUAUAUAUAUAUAUUACCCCUAUAUAUAUAUACGUAUAUCGUAUUUCUAUAAUUUUUUAUGUUGCCGAAAUUCACACUGUUAAUAUAUAUUUAUCGAAUAGAAGAUAUCAAUAAUCCAUGAGUAAUUCUAAAUAAUUUAUGUGACAUAUAUUCUUUAAUAAAGUAAAAACUUUGAUAAUUUUAAAGAUUUUGCUGUAGCAGGAAACUCAAAUGCUGUUUUAAACUCUAAAUUGCACCUCAAUUUUUUUUAAAUACAAAUAAUAUGUAAUUUAAAAUUUAGAUGUGCAAAUUAAUAAAUUUAGUUUUCUAUUUGGUUAUUAUUGACUAACUUAUAAUGCAUUUUGGUUGAACGAAAAGCAUAGUAUUCUUUUAAAAUAAUUAAAAGUAAAAAAAAAAAAGAGUUGCCACCAAAAUUUUAUUUUGUAUUGAUUUGAACCCCUAUUAAUCGAAUUAUUAUGUUAAUAUAAUCUAAUGAAUUCCAAUGGACCAAAUAUAUUUGUAAUAAAUUAAAUUAUUUUAAUUAAUUAACAAAAUUUGAUCAGAUAUAACAUAUACUAUAUGCAUGUUUUAAUAAUAAUAAUAAUAAUGUUGAUUGAAAAAUAAUGAACUUCAAUGGACCAAACAUUUAUAAGAAAUUAACUUUUGUUAAUUAAUUAAGAAAUUUUGAUCAGAUGCAACAAAUAUUAUCCUGCUUAUAAUAAAAAAAUUAAUUGAAUUAAUAUAAUAUUAAUAAUAAUUUACUUACAUUAAAUGAUAAAAUCACCUAGAAGCAUGCUGGUGUUGGAUGUGGCCCACGUGAUUUAUUCAAGAUGAUUUAUAAAAAUAAAGUCGACCUAUUCAGAACGAUCUAUAAAGAUACAGUUGAUCCAACGGUCAGGAUACGUUCUUGAUGGACGGACGUGAUUUAAUAUUCUUACAUUAGGUUAUAUAUAAAUAUAUAACACACGGAAGUCUUGGUUUAACCCUAAUUUUAAUUUUCUGUGGCGGCUUCAUCUCCGGAAAUAAGGGAAUAGACUCGAAACGUUGCGCUCUUUUGCAGAUCUGAACGAGAACGAACUACUAGCAAGAAUCGUGGAUUGUACUAUAAGUAAGAAUCGCCAUCUACAAUCCGUGCUUAGAAGUCGCAAUCAUGGAAAAAGAUUAGAAUUUAAUUUUUAUAAAGUUUAAUAGCUGGGUCAUGUAUUCAUGUCGCAUGCAAUGACUUUCUUUGGCUUGACCAAUUCUAAAAAUUCUAGGACCCACUGUAAUUUCCUGGAUGCUACAAGUCCAACUAAUACUUCUAGAUUUAUUAAUACAAAUAUAUUUAAUAAUAAUGUAAUCUAAGGACAACAACUAUAUGAGGCAAAUAUAUAGAACAAUUUCCAUACAAGUCCAAAGUAUCAUUAAUGACACUCCAUUAUAAAUUUAUAAGAAUUAUGGUAACACAAACUUAGGAGUCUAGAUGCAAAGUUAAAAAAAUAAAAAAAAUUACAAAGUGGGCAACCAAGGUUUGAAUCAUGUUCCCACACAUUGUUCUUUUGACUUUGUAGUUUAUGUUUUUAUUUGAAGUUCCAAACAUCUUUAACUAUAUUUUAACAAAAAAUAAUAUGGUUAAUUUCAUACAGGCUCCGGUAAACAUAGUAAAUUAUAAAUAUAUUUCUAUAAAGUUAAACUUUCAUAUGUUGUCUCUGCAAAAGUCCUAAUAUUUUCAAAUAUAUUCCUCUGGUUUGUUACUGUUAAAGUACUGUCUAUUUUAUAAAUAAAAUAAUCUUUUUCCCAUCAUAAAUAUGCCCCUCCAAAAAUCCCAAUUGUUAAUUCAAGAGGGAUAAAAAAAUCAAUUCACCUCAUUAACUAACUAGGGUUAAUUACUUAACCUAUGGUUAACUAAAUUUUUCUAACGGAUUCUAAUGGCAGGAACAUAUUUGAAAAUAUCAAGAUUUUUGCAGGAACAACACAUGAAAAAUUAGAAUUUUGUAUCGAUCUAUGUUUGCAUGGAUCUGUAUGCAAUUAACCAUAAUAAAGGAUUUUAGAAAAGUAAGGAGGGUAAAAUGGUAAUUUCAAUUUGCAUCCUCUCACUAUAAAUUUCGACUUGGUAAGAGGGGUUUAGAUCACAACCCCUCCUCCAAUACCCUUCGCUCUCGCUCGCUCUCUCUCUCUCUCUCUCUCUCUCUCUCUACACAUACACAUGCCUAUAUAAAGAGAGAAACAAGAGAGACGGAUAUUAUACGUAUACGUAUACAUGGGGGUCGAAGGGGAGAUACCCACCACUCUCCUCCGCCGCGGCGGCGGCGGCGGCGGAGGAUCUCCGCCGUCCAUCCUAGGGCUCCAGCUCUCGGCCCUGAUCGACCACGUGGCGCGCGUCGAUUGGUCCCUCCUCGACCGCAUCCCCGGCGACCGCGGCGGCUCCCAACAGGUCCGAUUAAUAAUAAUUAAUUAAUAACAAAUUAAUCAAAAUAAAUUAGUAAUUUGAUCGUAACCUAAUUUCCUAUAAACCCGUGAAUCCAAAAUUGGAUUUUGAUGCGUCCCACUAAAUAAAUAAAAAAAAAAUGAUUUUGAGAGGCUUAAUUGUGUGUGAAUUAAUGUAGCAUAUAUACGUAGCACAAAUUUGAUUUUUUGGUUUAAUUAUGCGUAUAUUAAGGUAGUAUGUGCCAAAUUUAUAAUUAUAACCUAAUUUUAUAUCGAACCAUGAAUCCAAAAUUGGAAAAAAAAUGAUUUUGGGUGCUUUAUUUUGUGUGAAUUAAUGUACCAUUUAUAUGGACCCAUGAAUUCAAAAAAUUGAUUUUGAUGGUGUGUAUUUAUGUAGUAUUUAUAUAUGUGGUAAUUUAUAAUUAUAACCAAAUCUUAUAUCGACCCAUGAAUCUAAAAUUGGGUUUUGAUGCAUCCUAGUAAAUAAAAAUUUGAUUUUGACGCGGAAUUAAAUAUAUAUUAAUGUCCUAUGUUGUUAGUUAUAGUUGUGUUAUGUGUCCUGGGUUUUAUUGUUGUUGUUGUGUAUAGUUUUGCAUCUAUUGGGAACAAUUUUGAUUGAAUUUGGAAGCCCAAUUUGUGUUUGUUUUUUUCCUUUUGGUUGUGUUUUGGUAUUUUUAAUGGUUUUUUUUAAGUAUAAAAUUUGAUCUUUUUUAUGCAUAUUUAUAUAUAAACAUAAUGAAUUUUGGAUGUUCUGGUUCUUGUUGUGAAAAGUUUGGUAUUUUGGGUGUCUACUAGUGUAGUUGGAGAAACCUCAAACGAAAAUUGAAACUGAAUUUGAGUUUUUUUUUUGGGUGAAAUUUGGUAGUGUUUUGAUGUUUUUACUGAUUAUUUGAGUGCAAACUUAAUUUUUAUAGAUCUUUUAGUGACGGAAAUUUCAAGGCGCAAUUUGAAUUUUAGAAUAAUCUGAUCUAAUAUGAUAUUGCUGAAUGGUCAUUUGUCAGCAAAUUUGAUUCUUUGUUUUUAAAUCCAUUUGAAUUGUCUAAAACAUUUGAUGAGUUAAACGAUCGAUGAUUCACUUUUUAGACUAGUAACAAGUAGUUCCAACAUAUUUUGUGAUGUUAAGCCUUCUUCUUCUACUUCUGCUUCUGUUUCUGCUUCCAGCAGCAGCAGCAGCAGCAGCAGCAACUGCUGCUGAAUCUGAAAGCGAUAGCUUUGUAGUCUUCCGAAAGCGAAAUCUCUUCUAUCUUUCUUUUCUUCCAUUUAACUUUUUGUCGGUAUGCUUCUUCUUGUUUGUAGUUUAAUUUUUCAUUUACUUUUUGUCGGUAUGCUGCCUUGUAGUAUUCCUCAUUUAUCUUUUUAUGCGCCAUUCUAUAUGACGAACUACACUGUAUAUAUACUUGAAAUCUUCAAAAAUAUUGUAUAAUUGAGCCUCUGCACUUCAAAACCGUUAGACGACCAUGUUCUCGGAAUAAUCGCAUCAUCACCUUUGAAAAUUGAUGCCGUAUUAUUGCAAAACGCCUUUAAAGAGCUUUGCUGCCCAAACAUGGGCAUUUCAAAAUCUAGUUUGUGAAUAAAUACAAAAGAAGAUGCUCUUAGUACGCCUCUCGUUCGAUUCCUUUCUCUUGGUUUAUUUCAUUUAAAUUUGGCAUUUUGUAAUUCUUUUCUGAGUAACAGGUCGCAAUUGGGGAUUUGAAUCGCAUACUGAGCGAGGUCAACACCCACAUUCUCCCAUUCAGUGGCGACCUUUCUCCUAUAAGGACGAUAGCCGGUGGCAGCGUCGCGAACACGAUCCGGGGUCUUGCCGCGGGCUUCGGGGUUUCGAGCGGAAUUGUCGGCGCUUGCGGCGAUGACGAUCAAGGCCGGCUGUUCUGCCAUAACAUGAGCCUCAGCGGCGUUGAUCUUUCGAGGCUACGGGCAAAGAAGGGGCCUACGGGUCAGGUGAGCUUUCCCCCAAUUUGGUGUUUCUCUCUUGUCACUGGCUUUAGUAGCGAGGAAAGUUUACAUCUAUAUCCACGCAAAGUUAUCAAUUUCAUUUGCGUAUGUUGGUAUUUCAUUACAAGGUUUUCGACGAGGGUUGUUUGUGUGAAAAUUUCUCGGUGAGAGUGGUUGAAAAAAGUGCUAUUUGUUUCAGUGCGUGUGCUUGGUUGAUGCCAACGGUAAUCGUACCAUGCGACCCUGCCUCUCAAAUGUAGUUAAGCUUCAGGUAAGCAAUGCAUUCUUCUUCUUCUUCUUCUUUGUUUAAUGUCGCACUUACUUAAGCUAGUUAUGUAGAGUCUUUUGGUAUUUAAAUUGAUUUCGUCUAUUUAACAGACGAAUGAGUUAAAAAGAGAGGAGUUUAGAGGAUCGAAGGUAAUCGUCUUCUUUCUUUUCGCACAUUUGAAUGAAUUUAUAGUACUAGAUCCUGCGAAUUUAAAAUUUUUGAAAUCGUUGCUGUCGAUGCAGUGGCUGGUAGUGAGAUACGCGUACUUUAAUUCGGAACCGAUUAACGCCGCUAUCAAGAUCGCUAAACAAGAGGGCGUCUCCAUCUCCUUGGACUUGGCUAGUUUCGAAGUAGGGCAGUAAACAAAUUUCCUCUUCUUUUUGCCAUUUAGUCCGCAGUUGAUUUGUUUUGAGGGUGUUAUCGCAAAUUUAUGAUCAAGAUUGUAUGGUGGCGAAACUGUCGAUGUACAGAUGGUCCGUGAUUACCGGUCGCACCUCAUCGAACUGCUGGAGACUGGUAACAUCGACCUUUGCUUUGCCAACGAAGAUGAAGCUAGAGAGCUUAUAAGGUGUGAUUAUAGAACUGCAGUAAAGAAUUCGAGGAGUAAACUUGGGUUGCUCUGAAAUUGCGAAUGUGAGUCUAUGAUUGGGUCAUUUUACUGUAAGUAUUUUUGUGCAGAGGAGAAGCAACAACUGAUCCGGAGGUCGCGUUGGAAUUUUUGGCAAAGUAUUGCAAAUGGGCCGUGGUGACUCUCGGUUCCAAAGGAUGCGUCGCGAAGCACGGCAAAGAGGUUGGUCUCAAAUUUCCAUGCUUGUUUAUCCUCUGAAUAUCUCAUUUUUGGUAAAAUUUUGGAAUAAUUGUUUCUAAUCAUUUAUGAACUGUAGGUUGUCCGCGUCCCAGCAAUCGGGGAAUCGCACGCUGUCGAUGCCACGGGGGCCGGCGAUCUCUUCGCCAGCGGCUUCCUCUACGGGCUGGUGAAGGGGCUUUCGCUGGAGGAAUGCUGCAAGGUGGGCGCCUGCAGCGGCGGCUCCGUGAUCCGCGCACUCGGCGGGGAGGUGAUGCCGGAGAACUGGCAGUGGAUGUACAAGCAGAUGAAAGCGAAAGGUCUUUCGGUUCCCGACCUCGGUAUCAGCACCUGAUACCUGUCUUUCCGUAUCGGUCUAGUAUUUCGAGUUCCUUUUCUUUUCUUUUUUUUCCCUUUUCCGAAAUCGUCGAUUCCACGAUUAAAUUUCUGUGGAGUAGGGCAGCAUAAGGUUGCAAAUUUUGGGUGCCAUUUUCUUUCUGGUGAUUGUAACUGUGCCUAAGAUUUAAUGGAAGAACCUUGCAGCAUUUUUUUGAGAGAUCACCUCCACUUGAAACAGCAAUUGUCCAACAAAACCCUCUCUCUAUCUCUCUCUCUCUCUGGAUAGAUAGAUUGAUAGAUAAAAGUUUUUUGUAUGGGUUUAAUAAUACAUGCAAGAACCAUGAAAUAGGUAGACCAUAACAUCAUUGGUUUUGUUAAAGGAAAAAGAGAUAAAAGUGAGGAGAAAGUGGAAAAAAAAGAAGGGAUAAAAGAAUCAGUCCCCAGAAGAAACAUAAUCAAUCAGGCUUUUGCAAUUUUAGAGGGGUGGGUUCAGGGCCCUGAAACUCUUUAGUUUUGAACCCUCAGAUACAAAAAGAUGCGAAAAUUUCAACAACACGAUCAACCUGGAACAGAAAGAUGGAGGGGAAGCAACAAAACAGAACAAAACACCGAUGAUUAUAUUUGAUUUGACGAGAGGUUUAGUUCAAAAAUGAGUUAAAUCGCACAGUAGGAUCAUGGUAGCUAAGUCUACUACCAAGUAAUUUUUUUCACUACCAAGUUCUGAAAUCAAUACCAAAAGCUUCUCAUAAUCCCCAGUACGAAAAACAAACCCACUUGUUUAGAGACCAUUCAAGCAUUUUACGGCAACAACAGGAACAUAAAUUUUGUUCAUAGAAAAAGAUUUAAGUUCAUGCGUUAACCACGCACCGAUGGAUGCAUCAUCAACAAUCUGAAGCCAACACCAAAGGUCUAUCCACCGAUAUUCCAACUUCAGUUCCUAAAAUGAUAAAUCCGCUCGCAAUAAAAAAUCAAAUAGAUAGAGUGCAUGCAACUUCAGUUCAAGAUUUUCUUAAGAGAACAUCACAUCAUUGCGUCUCUUCGAAAGACUUUCUACCUUGCUACCCCUUUAAAUGUCCAUCGGCGCAGCCUCCUCGGAGCCUUUAUCCUCCUCGGAGCCUUUAUCCUCCUCCUGCAUUGCGCCACUGCUCUGCUCGCCUGUUGCUGCUUCCUCACCUAUCUCCAUAUCGUCGAGCGCUUCUUGUAUAGCUUUCUGAUCGAGAAUGUGGAACGGCUCCCCGACGCCCACGAUCGCCACUGUACAGAUGGAGCUCGUGAGCUUCUCCCACUGCAGAGUCUGUUUGAUCGCAAAGAGAGCGUCUUUGAUGAGCUCUUCGCGGGUGAACUCGUUGUAGGAUUCGAAUGCGCGUUCCAAGUAUGUCUUGGCGGCCUGGGAGCGGGAGCCGAUGGCGAAGGCUUGGUAUUCGAAGUAGUUCCCGCUAGGGCAGUUAUAGUAGAGGUGCGGCCCCGAUUCGUCCAGGCCUGCCACCAGGAGGCCCACGCCAUAGGGACGUUUCCAGGAACGUUGGGUACACACCUGUGUUGUAAAAUAUGUUUACACAUACUUGCGAAGCUGAGGAGAAAAAUAAAAAUUUAUAGUGUGACAACAUUCACCACAAAAUAGAGAAUGAGGUCUAAUGAUGAAUGUAAGAAGCUGCUAAAUGAAACAAAACGUAUUCCUGAGAAGUUGCUCUAAAUGAUGAAAGCCGGUAUAUGGCUUCUAGACCACAAAAGAACUACUCUUGAAAAGUCGCAUAUACUGGCUUUCAUCAUUUACAGGAACUUUUGAUUCGAGCUGCGAAAAGGGAUGCCCUAUUCAUAAUUUUGUUGUUGCAUGUUAAUAAAAUAUGAUCCUAUGGUAGCUCCAUCAGUGAUCUGUAUGAACUUGUUAAACACAUGUUGUUCAACAAACACAAUUUUAAGAAAGCUGUCGUUAGAAAUGAAAUCGAUCUGUGCAUGCACCUCACUACACAAACAGAUCUAACAAAAAUAUUAUAAAAACAAGGCAGCGACAAACUGAAAUAUACUUCACUACAGGUCACAGCAUUUUAUGAGAUAUCAGAAGAGAGUACUCCAUUUGUUGAACUUACAGACUGAAUUAAUCAAACUCAGUUAAGUUGUAAAAUGACUGAAGCAAUAUCUUCAGUCAAAUUGAAAACCCAAACUGAAACCGUGUUAAAUAAAUAUGAAGAACCUGAUAUAAAUCAUGCAUUUCAUGACAACUUUGAUAGCGAUUCGAAAGGAUAACUCAAAUUGGUUACAGGGAACAACAACACCUCAUAAGUAAUGAAUAGUCCUCCAAGACCUAAAAAGAUCCUCAAUUUGUGCUAUCCUUUCACAUCAUGCACGUUGAUUGGUGAUGUGGGGAAUUAUAAGAGUGGGAAUAAAUGUGCAAUAAGGUGCUUGAUUAUGUGGAGGGAGGAACAAGAGGAUAGGUAAUCUAGCGUUCAAAUAGAAAUCUAAACUCAUUUAGUGGCUGAAAUUGCUCGGUUCUUUCAGGGCCUAAUGCUAUAAUAAAAAACCCAAAGCGGCAAAUUCAAUAGAUUGAAUAGAAAAUGGCAGAUGCAUGAAGAAGAGGAAGAAAAAAAAGAAGUCGGUGUGAGGAGAAGAAAGAAGAAAGGAAUAUAUAACCAGGAUGAAACUAAAGUUCUCUCAUUAUCGACCCUCAAUGAUUAAUUGGAGCAUAGUACACUUAAGGAAACACCUAAAGGACAUGCCUGCAUAUAGUUCUUCAAUGCGAAACAAUCUGUACCACAAAAAUCCAGUGUAUUACAUACGGUGCUAAUCAUCUUAAUGAACUAACUUCCCUUGCCAUGUGACCCAUAUGAUGCAGUAAUAAUACAUAUUAUGCUGGCCCAUAAUCUCCACAAAAAUAUCAUUCAAAUGUUUAUUUAUAAAAAACAAGUAACUCAGAUCAGACCUCUCAGAGGCUCUAAAUAUUCUAUCUGAUUUCAGACUUAUUUAAGCAGCAUAACAAUGACAAAGUUGGGGAUAUAAUAUAAUAUCUUAAAAGUAAUUCAGAAUAAAGAAGAAAAAUUAGAAGACAAAACGGGAAGAAGCUCAUAGGAGAUCGACAUGACUAAACAGAAGAGGUAGUAAUAACAGCAAGCAAUAUAAGAACAAAAUCUUUUCCAUCAAAUUUCCACCAUGAACCUUACAAGGGAAACGCUCUUCUGGAUCGAUCACUUCUCAAUUUAUACUUAAACUCUUAAAGCCAUUAGAAAUGGAAACAAUGGAUGACACUGUACAGGCUUUAGAUAUAUUAUGCCAGGAUUGAGUAUAGAAUCUUUCAAAAUUGAGAUAGGGAUAUCAAUCUGGACAUUAUGAGGUUACAAGAAAUAACCAUUAGAUCUGGAUGAAAUCACAUCAAAUUUGAUGACUCAGAUAUCUAGCCCUUACACUACUAAAUACAUAGCACCAUAAAAACAACAACAACAACAAAGACUAUACACAAAAAAGAAGAUAAUAUGAACCAGGGAAAGCUAAACCAAAUUAGACUGUAGCUUGACACUAAACCAGUUGGAUAGGAUCAACUGCAUCGACAAACAAGUGAGUGGUUGCAGAAAAAUGUUCCUAACAAUUCUCCAUAUAAUGAAACAUUAAAAGUACGUGCACAUCAUACAUUGAAAAGUUAACAUCUAUGCUUGGAUUUUGGUCCAGAGUUCAGCCAAAAAUUCAGGACAUAUCCAAGUUCUAAGAAAACUUCACAAAACCAAGAAAGACAACAUAUAGAAAGAGGGGAACAAACGAAAAGAAGAUCAUGUGGCAUGAACUACAGCCAUUAAGCUAAAUGUGAUAACUGAUAAGCAACAAACAGCUAAUCUAGUUUAAUAAUUUCUAACUUAAAAUAGAAAGAUCAUAAGAGAGCACAUCAGCAUGACAAAAAUAUAUCCAAAAGUAACUUCAUGAAGAAAAGAAAGGGAAAAUAUUAAAAAAAGAAAAAGAAGCUAAGUUAAUCAACUAGCAACUUAAAAACAAGAUCACACACAAGUAAAACAGGACCAAAAUUGAAAGAGCAGAAUUUGUUGAAAUGAUAAAAAACAAAACUACAACAUGAACUACGAAGGAGAGAUACAAGGUGGGACUCAAGCAACAACGGAGUUUAGCUGAUAAACAUCAAUGAUUUCCAUUUGUGCCUAAAAUCUGAGUCAUCUCAUGUUCUUCUCUAAAUUUGAUAAGGUCAAUACUACCAGUUCUUUGAUUAAAUCACUCAUCAUAACAAUCUGUGGUUGCUUUGAAGCGAAUUCUGAAAACAUAAAAGGGAAAAUGCAGUUUUCUCUUUCUGUUGGUACUCUACCCUAAAUCCUACUGAAACAUCUAUAACAGAUAAGAAAUCAAACAACACAUAUCAUGAUAGAAGCCGCAAUGAAACACAUUUCUAUUCUACGGGAAAGUGUAGUUCUCAUCUUCUGUGAUAUCGCACUUCAAAACCAUAAUAACAAUUUUGGAGCACACGGGAAAUCAACGAAAUGAGUCCCACGAACAACAAGUCACACAUAUCGCAACAGGGAUAGGGAGAUUAAAGCUAAAAAAUUAAAAAAAAAACAGACUUUUUUUCAUCACCUGUGGGAUCGGAUCCUAAACCCUAAACACACAUUCUACAAAUUAGAGCAGAGAUCUCACCAAACCACCAAUAAAAACCCCACUUUUCCUCCUGAAGUAUGGUAUCGGAUCCUAAACCCUAAUCCUAGAUUCUACCAAUGAGAUAUCUCGCCAAAAAAAAAAAAAAAAAAAANACCUCAAUUGUGGCAUCAAUCCAAAACCCCAAUCAUACACAGAAUCAAGAGAUCGAAAUCGAGGGGGUAGAAUCGAUACCUGGGCCUUGUCCGCGAGGUUGACGACGAGGCGGGAGACGGGGAGGGGGGCCUCGUAGACGAAGGCGUGGUUGAUGCACUCGCUGCGGAGGUAGCGGGAGAGGACGCGCCCGUCGGCGGUGAGCCCGGCGAUGGCGACCCCGACGUGGUCGUCGACCUUGAAGAUCUUGCGCUGGUGGGAGGAGAGCUCGGAGGCGGCCUUGUUGACUGUGGCGAGCGCGACAUGGGAGGAGGAUCGGAGCCCAAUCGCCGCCGACCCCUGCUUCACCGCCUCCAUCGCGUACUCCACCUGGAACAACCGCCCCGCCGGGCUCCACGUCGUCACGUCCGUGUCAUACUGGUUCCGAAACAUCGUCUCCUUCCUCGAUCUCUCUCUCUCUCUACGCUACGAUCGCUUCUUCGUCUUCAACUUCGUCUUCGUUGGGGAAUUUCGUCGAACAGGUGGAGGGGUUUGGGAUGGGAUGCGAUUUUAUAGAGAUAGAGGGGGGAUCGAUCGACGAGAGUGUUUGUGCGUUCACUUUACUUGUUUCGCAAGACGAGUCGCGACUCGCGACUCAGGAGUAACGAGUCGGAUUCGGGUCCGAUAAAUAGCUGAUCCGGAUGUCGUAAGUUUGAUCCCGCAGAUCGCGUUAGGCUCCGUUUGCAGAGAGAAAGUACAAUAGCAAAAUAUUUUAUUUAUUUUCGUGCAUAAUAUUACGUUUUGCAUACACAAUACGUUAGAUUACAAUGAGGUCCCUGGGUGCCAAUCACAAUUAACAAUCUCAAAAUAAAAUAUAAUGACAAUUUGAUCCCUAAACACUUUGCAUAGAACAACACAUAGUGCUUCAAUUGAUGGGGAUCACUCUAAUGGGACACCCACUCCUUAGCCUCGGAAACAUGGCCCAUUUCUCCAAGCUUGGAUCUGCAUCAGUCACCUCCCACCUGAUCACAAUCAAAUUGGAAUAGUCGUAUACAUAAGAUAUAACAGUACUAAAUCUCUUAACCAGCUAAAGAGCGGUACGAGUUAUGUCAAUACAGAACGUCAUCUUUUUCUGUUCUUCUUGUUGUAAUCGUGUACCUGCAUGUCGUAACGAGGUGAUGUAGGAAAACAAGCAUCAUUUCCUUUGCCAGGUUCAUCCCCAGACAUGUCCUCCCUCCUGCUCCGAAUGCUAAGAAGCUAUACGGCUUCGGAUCUUCCUGGCGAGGGUACAUGAACUUGUGCUUAAACUCUUCGUUUGCUCUUUGAUAAACUAGUAACUUAAAUACUACUAAUAGAUAGUCACAAUUCACAAAUUAGUAAGUUGUCGGUAAAAGAGUUUAAAUUCAGUGACGAAAAUGUAAAAGUUUGGAUCUUCUGCUAUGACAGGAAGUUAAAAUAAGAUCCUGAGAACCUAUGAUCAUAGUUGAAGCAACUCACGUCGAAUCUCGAUGGAUCAAACUUCAUUGGCUCAUCAUAAAUUGUAGAAUCGUAGUGUGCGGAUCUCGCGUUGACAUUGACAAUCCAAUCUUUUCUGAUUUGAAAACCUGCAAGAUUCAAAGUGCCGUCGAAGUUCAGAGCAGACAAGUGAAAGUUCAUUCUCAAUGCACCAAAAACCUGAACGAAAAGCUGCUACAAAAGCAGUUCUUCGCUGUCUAUUUGCUUUUCCAUACUAAAUUUCUGCAAACUUUUUUCUUUUACUGAUCAUACUCUUCCAUAAGUCGUGUUUAACAGUAAAUGGAUUAUGAUUGUUUCAAAGAAAAAGACACAAUGUUUACGACACACCUCCAAGCUGACAGUCCUUCAAUGCUACUCUUGGAAACCAAGAAACCACAGUUGCCAUCCUCAAAGAUUCCUUCACAAUCUAAUCAUAUUAGCAGAAAACAAGAACAGAGAUAAGAAAAUUAGUACUAAUUAAUAUCCUUUUCCUUUGUUAAGGUAACACUCUCAAUCAACAUGAUAUUAUGGAGUUUUCAUACCUUAGAAGCAUAGUGCAUAUCAUUAAGAGUUUCGAGCCGAAGAGGUGUAUCAGAGUUCUUGAGGGCUAUUUCUAACUGCAUUUCCUGAUUAAGUAUCAUGAUUUUUUUUUAAAAAAAAAGAUCAAACUCAUGAAAACAAAAACUCUUUAAUAUGUAUAUGUAUUCAUUUUACUUACCCUUAGUUUGUCUUGGACCUCUUUGUUCUCAUCCAAGUACUUCACCAUCCACGUAAUUGCGCUCGCUGUAGUUACUUGUCCUGCAUAUUUAGAUUCUCUCAUUUCUCAACUUCAACUUUUCGCAUGCAUUUCACUCUUCCAUGCAAUCCUUUCGGCCCGAAAUUCAAAGAAGCGAAAUCGCAAAGCCACGAAAUGGUAAAUAAUUUACGCGAAAUGACCUCGCGAGAAAUAAAAGCACUAAUCUUUACCAGCAAUUAUAAGUGUUAAGAUGUUAUCUGAAAUCUGUUGGUCUGUUAAUGAUUCUGCACUGUCGGGAUUGUCUUUCGCAAGAAGGUGCUCCAAGAAGUCAUUUUUGCACUCCACGCCGUUUCGCCUCAUCGCCAUUUUCUCUCUUAGUGUAUCCAUAAUUCUCUCUCUAGCCUGUUUCAUCAAAUGUAAGGUUAGUGCUUAAUUCAUAGGGCUUCAUUCAAUUCAUUUUUGCGCUCGUUUGGUAUCGUUGUUUUUGUUUUUUUUUGGUAUCGUUUAAGAAACAAUUUCUUCAACAUGAUCUGUCGGUGCGUCAAAUCAAGUAAAACUUGCAUUUGGAAAUAGCGAAAAGAUAACAAUGAUACCGAACGAGGCUUAAGUACGCGAAAUGAUUACCUUGAGUCCUCUGUUAAAUCUUGUUCCAGGGAAUCUUAAGGGAAAAGCUAACAAGGCUUCAGUAACUUCAGAAACAUCAUUUCUUAGUGCUUCCAUUUCAUUGUCAUCUUCUAAGCUUAGUAGCAUCUUGCAUAUCGCGUUGAAGGUAAUCUACAUGUAAUUAGGAUAACCGAUAGUGUCGAGUUAAAAGGUAAAAUAGCAGAUGUAUUGAAUCUGGUCAAAUAUGUCUAAUUAUACGUGUAAUGAAAAAAAGAGAAGGGAGCGGAAAAGAAAAUAGAUACUGGUGCAAUUUUACUUAUGUCAUGAAGCAAUUUAAGCUCACCUUCAAAGCAUAAUCAAGCACAAUAACACAUCUUUUUUCCUUCCAAACUCGCAUAGUUUCGACGGUUAGUUCGUCAAACAUUCUCACCGACGAAGACAGGUGAUCAAGUGUGAAGAGACUGGCGAUCUGGCGCCGCAAAAACUUAUGGUGUUCAUGAGAAGAACACAGCAAGCUCUCUUCCCCGAGUAGCGUCGCGACUGUUUUGAUAUACCUCUUCGGGAAAUCGACAGAUUCGGAGCCGAGGAGCGCCUUCGCUACCUCUACACUUGAUACAAACACAUGGGUGCCUCCAAAUAGGUUGGUCUUAAAGCAAUUUCCAUACCUUUAUCCAAGAAACUAAAAUAAAUUACUUUAUCUAAACACAAAGUUUGAAUAUCCUUCACUAAGUUUAAUUGAUAGUGAUGAUAGAACAAUUCUAACUUCAAGUUAAAAAAAGAAAACUAUAAUUAUCUCAAUCAAGAAUUAAUGUAUAAAAAAAGUAAUCUCCUAAACUUGUUCUUAUAUGAUUUCAACUUGAAUUACUUUUAUGAAGUUCAAUCUCAUUGUUUACAAGUGCAUGACACUCAACAGUAUAUAGUCACCUCCUAUAUGUUCUUAGGGAUAAUUGCCUACAUGCCCUUCAAAACUUCGAAAAUAUCUCAUUUACUCCUACUUUUUUUUCUUUUCAAUAUACCCUUUAUAUGUUCCUCCAUUAUUCUAAAAUACCCUACAGUUAUCACCUAUUAAGUUAAUUUGGAUUAAAUGUGAGUUAAAUAUCUAUCACAGUUAAAAAAAAUUAAAAUGUCACUUUUGCCCUUAACUUAAGGGUGCGUUUGGUUCAAGUUAUCCUGGCAGGAUUACAGGCAAUCCUGCCAGGAUAACUAUGUUUGGUUAAUCCGCUAUGUAAUCUAGUUGUUAAUGUAGGAUUACAAAUCGAGCAGGAUUACAUCGAAAAUAUUAAUGUGAGGGGGGUCGUGUAUCUUGCAUUACUGAAACCCGUUAAUACUACAUAUUAUGUAAAAUGACAAUUUUACCCUCCAACAACCCCAAAUGCCUUCCCCCCGGCCCUCUCUCUCGCACGCCGCUUUCUCUCGCUCUCUCUCUCUGGACGUCUCUCUCUCUCUCUCUCUCUCUCACACGAACACCUAUCAUCUUCUAUUGCGUCGUCCUCCCAAAUAAUCAUCACGAUCUCCUUCCCUCCAUUCGUCAUUUCCGCAAAAAAUAAUAUUCAAAUGACCACAACAAGGGCAAUUUUGAAAAAAACUAUACUUUUAUGUCAGGAUUACUAAAUUUUAUAAACUGAACCAAACAUAUUAAUGCUAUAAACACUGUAAUCUAGUAUUACAUUACUGUAUUAAACCAAACGCUCUAAUGUAACAUUAGUAGUAAUCUCACGCCGAAAUCCAAGAUACCUGGAUAUGUCGAGAUACUUUGUAAUAUUACAUAACUCGAACCAAACGGGCCCUAAGGGUAAAUAAGAAAUAUUGGUGAUGGUAACAGGAUAUAUUUGAAAAGACCAAAAAGUAAAAUACUUUUUGUAUCCCUAACUUAAGAGCAAAUAAGAAAAGUGGGUGCUGCUAGAAGGGUAUAUUUGAAAGGGUAAAAUAGUAAUUUUAUAGAGAUAACAGAGUUCUGUUAUUUGAAAUAGGUUGGAACGUAAAAAGAGUAUUUUCAAUAUUAGCCUUCUAAGAAGGAUAAAUCAGAAAAUCGGGAAUUUUUUAGGGAUAUAUAAGCAAAUUGCCCCAUGUUCUUA
rnacentral:lncRNA from 1 species